GACGAACGCUGGCGGCGUGCUUAACACAUGCAAGUCGAACGGAAAGGCCCUGCUUUUGUGGGGUGCUCGAGUGGCGAACGGGUGAGUAACACGUGAGUAACCUGCCCUUGACUUUGGGAUAACUCCAGGAAACUGGGGCUAAUACCGGAUAGGAGCUCCUGCUGCAUGGUGGGGGUUGGAAAGUUUCGGCGGUUGGGGAUGGACUCGCGGCUUAUCAGCUUGUUGGUGGGGUAGUUGCUUACCAAGGAUUUGACGGGUAGCCGGCCUGGGAGGGUGACCGGGAAAAUGGGAAAGAGGAAAGGGCCAAAACACAAGGGGGGGGAAGGGGGGGAGAAAAUUAAAAAAGGGGGGGAGGCGGGAAGAAGAAAGGGGGGGGGGGGAAAGAGGGCUUUGGGGUUAAAAAACGGUUGGGCGGGGAAAGAAGGGGGAGGAAGGGAAAGGGGAAAAAAAGAACGGGAAAACAAGGG
rnacentral:rRNA from 1 species